CAGGUAAGGCUAUGUCAGUGCUAUGGAAGGACUGCAGUUAAACUCUCGGUUCGAUAAUGAUACGAGUGAGGAAUCUACUGCCGGUCUUGUAUGAGCAUGUAUAUGUUAAAUAAAAUACGACAACAAAGCCAAGGCUGUAUGGAAUUUUCAAGACAUUUAUAAAAAGAACGUUAGUAUUAUUUGAAUACAUAACGUAAAAGAAAUUAGAAUAUUUAAUAACUAAACUAUUUUGCAUACUUAAACCAGACGUAAUAAAGUAUAUCUUUUAAUCUACCAAUUUUAAUGAGGUAUAUUAAUUUACGCAUUUCAUAAACAAUCUGUAGAUUACAGAUCUAUAAUGUUACAUUUUGUUAUGGUGCAAAAUAAACAGAUAUUUAUCAGGUAUUAUGAGAUAAAUAUCUAUAAUAACAUAUUCAAAUAUUACAAAUGCUUUUACAAUUAGUAUUUCAAAUAUCCAUAAAGAUUAAUUUGUAACUCCAAGCAAUCAUAAGACAUCCGAGACUGCACAAUAAAGCAUAUUUAGAGUGCUAUUUUUCUAUUAAUAUAUAUGGGGGUGGGUACGGAAAAUUAGUGUUUGUAGCAGAUUCAGAUUUUGGUAGAAGGACAGCAAUUAUGGUGGUCGAUUUAAAUUGAUUACAUCGAUACCAGCGAUCCACUGUUGCAUAAUUUAUUGAUCACAAAAUCAUGACAGGAGAAGUCGGCUUGUCCGAAAUUUGAACUGGGAACAUGAAUAGGGGUGAAAUGUCGCUAAGCAUUUUGCGCGAUGUGCUGACAAUUUGCACAAUUUAUGUAUCAUAUUAUAAUACAUAAUAUAUUAAAUGUGGAUAAGACGGUGAGCUGGCUUAAUAGUUUACGCGCCGCACCAAAUUCUUCGCGGCAUUCCGCCUAUUUUCACGUUCUAAUUUCAAAUUCUCCGAGAUCAAUCUUAGCCUUUCACCGUUCCGGUUUCUGUAAUAUCAGGGAAGCAUUGUGUCCGGUGCAAACACUUCUCUUUCCCCCGAAACUGCUAGACUUCUAUCAAUAUCUAAAACUAAUAUAUCAAACGUUCGUACUGUUAUGAAAAUGAAAAUAUAUAAUACAUUAUGUAUAUUAAUAUUAAUUUAUUCUUUAAAGUUUGUGCGUAUUAUAAGAACUGUGAGAGUGACAUUUUGGACAGGGUGGGUAUAUGUAGCCGCGUUUGUUCUUCUUUUUUGAUGCUUCAUUAUUGAUGGAUAUAGAACAAACAAUAAACUUAAUCACGUUAUGAUUGUAGAGAGCGAAAAAUAAUAUGCUAAAAUAUGGAAUGCUAUAAAGAAAUGAAUGAAAUAAACAGGAAAAAAAGCUAUACAUAUUUAUAAAUACUACACAUAUUCGGAGAAAUACUUAGGAUUCUGAAGAAAGCUAAUUAAGUUUGGUGACAUGGGUUUUUAGGAUGGCUGAGUGAAGUCAAUAUAUAACAUUGUUCAGGAGUUAAAGAGUCUGUUGUCAUCGUGCAGAAUAAUGUAUUAUCUUUAGCAGAUAAAUCGUUUAACUGGAUUCAUUUUAUGUUGUAUUGUGUUCUUUAUGCCAUCAACUAAUUUUCCUUUCAUCAGUUAUUACCACAAUCUUAUAUGUGAUUAGUGCAAGUUAUGUACAUGAUACUUGUAUAAGAUAUUUACCGUAGGAUUCAGAAGAAAAUACUUUUAUCAACUUUGGAUUUUAAUUACGCUUGACAUCGAGGAAAAGCCCUGCCUGAUUUCUCCUCCUUACGCUCUGAGUUCAAAUCUCUGUAAGAUUGACACUGCAUUUCCUCAUUUUCGGGCUAAAAUAAUAGAAGUAUCAAUAUAUUCUUAUAUCGUGUUUUUUUUUCUUAAUUUUAGAAGUUUUUAUACCUGUCGUUAUUCUCCUUCACUCCUUGACGGUCGGUAACAUAAGUAUAAAUUGAGCAAUGGUGCCGGUGUCUUUUACUAUCAUUGCUGAUAUUU